UUUUCUAAAAGAUAUGUUUUAAUUCAACAAGUAAUUAUUUUGAGGAAGUUCUAUGGCCUGUGUAAUGCAGGAUGUCAGACUAGAUAAUCACAGAGGUCCCUCCUAGUUUUAGAAUCUGUAACUCUACAGAAGAGCUGCCAAUAUGCAGAGAAUGUGGGAGAAUGGAAGAUUGUUGGGAGGAUGUUGGGGCCAAUCUCCAAAAUUUAGAUCUGGAGUGUGAACACCUCAAAGUUAGAGCCUGGUAUUUUGGAUUAGCCCAUUAUAUAGAGAGAAGGGUGACAUCUGAAACUGCGUUUAUAUUCCUAACUCUCCAGAGUUUGGGGGUGUUCAGAUCCAUGGUUUUGGUUUCAGCCCAUCUUUGUCUGGAAGUUCAUGGUAUUCCUCAGGAUGAGACUAGCCUUACAUGGUUUCAGAAAACCUUCUGUUAGCCAAAUAAUUCUUAACAGGCCUGGCAUUCAGAUCAGAAACAUGCAAGCUAUUACCAACCUGCAUUAUAAAGACAUAUCAAGCUUUCCCUUCUAAUGGGAAAAUUAUUUGGAUGAAUAAAUGCUCCAAAGCUUGUGAGUUAACUGACAUUCACCUGGGAGGCUUGUUCCACAUCAACAUUCUGAAUAUGUACUGUCAGCAUGUGAUAAAGAGCAAGCCUUACAAGGAAAGUUUAAAAUUGCACCAUCAUGCUGGCGGGAAAGGCAAACCUGUGUGAACAUGGGAGCCAGUGGCAUUGGUGAGACUUCAGGGAAUGUUCAGAACAAGAAUAUUGCACCAUAAUCUAGUCCUCAUCAAGGAUUACUUUAAAGCAGCUCCCCAGGGCUGGAUGACAUCAGAAAGCAAGGGAAGUAAUGAAGCAAGGAAAAGAGUUGGACUUGAGUCAUUAGGGGUUGUGGUAUCUAUUUGUUGAGUGCCAUUCAUUAAUUGCUUAUGCUAGUGGUAUUAAUUCAUACUGAUAUAACAAAUCGUACUAGCCACGUACAUCAUUUUUUGAAUGGUCUCUGAUAGUUCUUAGGGCAAAUCUUUCUUUAGCCUUUUUUUAUUGUUUGUUUUGCACACCUAGUUCACCCCAUGUACUCAAGAAGGGUUCUCUGAAACUUGUACACUAUUUUCAUUGUCAAGAUUUACUUAUCUUUUCUUUUUUCCACUGAAGCACUAAGCAGCUCUUACAGCAAUGUAGGUGUGUUUGAGAAUUAUAAGAACCUUCAGUUCUCAUACCAAACUACACCCACACAAGUCAAUUCCAGUUUCAGUGACUAAAGGUCAUGUGAAUAGCAAAAAAUAACAGGUAAGAGCCUCAUUAUCCUAUUAAGAAUAACUGAAUUUGCAGCAGUGGCUUAUUAGAAAGGGAGCUAACAGCGCAAUCGGUAAGUCUUGCCUUUCCUUACAUUUGUUAGGUAUGCUCUCCCAUUACUAGUUGUUUACAAGUAAGUCCCAUCCCAUGAAAGAUAAAAACAUAAGGUGAGUUAUGUGCAAGUAGUGCUGGAAGGACAUACCCCUUCGCAGUGCUUAAUUUGUGCCAGGGCUUGCUAUCGCUGAGGCCCAGCACCUCUGGGCUUGGCAGUUCAUAGGUCCAGCACCUCUGGGCUUGGCAUGUCAGUUAUACAGUUAAAACAAUUGCUUGAGCCCCGGCUACUAAUAGCUUGAGCCCGGGUACCAUUUUCAUUACAAAUUAAGCACUGCCCCUUUGACUUUUAACAAACCAGGAAGAGAGAUGGACUGCAGCAGAUUUGGUUAUCUGCAAAUUGGGGGCUAGCCCCUUGCCCAGGGAUAGAUCAUGUGCACCACCUAAUAACUUGGCUUGGGAGUGUCAAAAGGCAGUACUGGUAGUAUGAUUUCAAAUGACGUGGAUUGUCAGGUUCCUGGGGCUGAUGGCAUCUUGUACGUUUGUCACUCCUUUCCCAAGACUGCAUACUCAUGACUGAACUCUCUAAUCAUAGUGGUUCACGUUCUCAGCAUGCUGUUUUCUCUUACACAGGAAUUCCCCAGUGUGGUGAUCUCUUCCAUUCAGUGUUCUCAAAGGGGUCUUUGCCUCUUGUAAUAUUUGAACUGAGCUGUAAACCUGGGAGAUGUGUUAGCCUGGAUACUUUGGAAGCCAAGAAGCCUGGGAGAGCAGUCAUUGAGAGGUGCUGCAGGGAAGGAGAAAUGGAGGGAAGGAAGCAGGAGAAAUACAAAGGACAAGGAGGAAAACACCAGGAAGGUGGAGCUUUGUUUGCAAGAAGCUGCUACCUUUUUAAAGCAGGAGAGAAGUAUGGCUGCCAGCCACUGGAUCCCACAGUAGGAUUUUUUUUUUAAAGCGAAGAUGGGCCAGCAAAUGUGAGAAAUCUGAACUAAGGCCGUUUGGUACAGGCAAACUCAUGUAUAGUUGUGCAAGAUGGAAGAUAUGGUUGUUGCUGAUUAAUAUCUGAUAUGACAGGUUGCAAUUAUAGGCCUGUCAGUGCAAUCUCUGCGUUGAGUCUCAUUCAAAUGAAAAAAAUUCACAAGUAUUUUAGAGUUUGCAUUGUGUGGAUCUGAUCAUUGUUUUCAGUGAAAAGUAGUGAAAAAACUGGAUUAAGCAUGGCUUAAAAUCCUAUUAUUACUGCUUGCAGUGAUUAAAAAAAAAAAGUACCACAGUGGGUGUGUUUUGCUUUGUGUGAAUGCUUCUGCUUUAUAUGACGAGGAAGAAAAAUGUUAACAGUAGAGUAUAGGUUAGUUUGAUUUGUCUGUACAUUUAAAACACUCAAAUAAGAUGUCUAAGUGCCUAAAAUGAAAUAUCAGCAUCG